rnacentral:rRNA from 1 species
UAGGGAAUCUUGCACAAUGGGCGAAAGCCUGAUGCAGCGAUGCCGCGUGAGUGAAGAAGGCCUUUGGGUUGUAAAGCUCUUUCGGCCGGGAAGAAGGGUUUACUUGUGAAUAAUUAGUAAAUUUGACUGUACCGGAAGAAGAAGUACCUGCCAACUACGUGCCAGCAGCAGCGGUAAUACGUAGGGUACAAGCGUUACUCGGAAUCACUGGGCGUAAAGCGCAUGUAGGCGGGUCUGAAAGUCGAUUGUGAAAGCCCUGGGCUCAACCUGGGAAUGGCAGUCGAUACUGCAGAUCUUGAAUGUUCGAGAGGAUGGCAGAAUUCCUGGUGUAGAAGUGAAAUUCGUAGAUAUCAGGAGGAAUACCGGUGGUGAAGACGGCUGUCUGGCGAAACAUUGACGCUGAGGUGCGAAAGUGCGGGGAUCAAACAGG